rnacentral:tRNA from 1 species
GAUUCCGUGGCCCAGUGGUUAGCGCGUUUGACUCGUAAGCAAGCGUUUCGGGUUCAAUCCCCGGUCGAGUCU